ACCACCACCAAAGUUUCCUUACCAUUACUCAUAUCCACCCCCACCUCCCAAAAAACCCUACAAAUAUCCAUCACCUCCACCACAAAUAUAUAAGUACAAGUCUCCUCCACCACCGCUACCAAAGAAGCCCUACAAAUAUCCAUCACCUCCACCACCAAUAUAUAUGUACAAGUCACCUCCGCCACCGAUAUAUAAGUACAAGUCUCUUCCACCACCGCCACCAAAGAAGCCCUACAAAUAUCCGUCACCUCCACCACCAGUUUACAAGUACAAGUCUCCUCCGUCACCAUCACCAAAGAAGACCUACAAAUAUCCAUCACCUCCACCACCAGUUUACAAGUACAAGUCGUCACCCCCACCUUAUAAGUACCCAUCUCCACAACAACCUCUACAACUAUCGCAACAAACUACCAAUUACUAUUACAAGUCACCACCACCGCCACAUAGGAAGCC
rnacentral:lncRNA from 1 species